rnacentral:tRNA from 1 species
UGUGGCUGUGGCUCAGCGGUAGAGUGCUCACCUCUCAUGUGCGGGGUGCUGGGUUCCAUCCUCAGCACCCCAA